rnacentral:tRNA from 1 species
GCCUUCGUGAUGAAAGGGUAGACAUGUCGGUUUCAAAAACCGAUGCUUCUGGCGUGUCGGUUCGAGUCCGAUCGAAGGC